rnacentral:rRNA from 1 species
ACUGACAGCCAUGGUUACCGCGGCUGCUGGCACGGAGUUAGCCGGUGCUUCUUCUGUGAGUGAUGUCCUUCCUGCCGGCUAUUAACCCGCAGGCCUUCUUCCUCACUGAAAGUGCUUUACAACCCGAAGGCCUUCUUCACACACGCGGCAUGGCUGGAUCAGGGUUGCCCCCAUUGUCCAAUAUUCCCCACUGCUGCCUCCCGUAGGAGUCUGGGCCGUGUCUCAGUCCCAGUGUGGCUGAUCAUCCUCUCAGACCAGCUACGGAUCGUCGCCUUGGUGAGCCGUUACCUCACCAACCAGCUAAUCCGACAUAGGCUCAUCCGAUAGCGCGAGGCCCGAAGGUCCCCCGCUUUCCCCCGUAGGGCGUAUGCGGUAUUAGCCUGGGUUUCCCCAGGUUAUCCCCCACUACCGGGCAGAUUCCUAUGCCAUUACUCACCCGUCCGCCGCUCGCCACCAGGGAGCAAGCUCCCCGUGCCUGCCGCUCGACUUGCAUGUGUUAGGCCUGCCGCCAGCGUUCAACU